rnacentral:rRNA from 1 species
UACGGGGGGGGCAAGCGUUGUUCGGAAUUACUGGGCGUAAAGGGCUCGUAGGCGGCCAACUAAGUCGGAUGUGAAAUCCCCAGGCUUAACCUGGGAACUGCAUCCGAUACUGGAUGGCUUGAAUCCGGGAGAGGGAUGCAGAAUUCCAGGUGUAGCGGUGAAAUGCGUAGAUAUCGUGAGGAACACCAGAGGCGAAGGCGGCUACCUGGACAAUUGCUGACGCUCAGGCACGAAAGCGUGGGGAGCAAAAGGG